rnacentral:lncRNA from 1 species
CUGAAAGGGCGGCCGCGGACGUGACCAUCUGGCGGGAAAGGGGCGGGGGCCGGGCGGAGUCUGAAAACGGCACUUUCGGUCUUCAUAAGGGCUCGGAGGAGGGGGUGCGCUCGGCCGGCCAGUGGAAGGAGUUGCCGCGCGCGCGAGAGGGUCUGGACCCCGCAGUCUCCCGGGCGCCCGCUGGGUUGCGUCUGCGCCCCUCUUUCCCCGCUCGGCCCUGUCCCCCCGCUUGGGCUCACACCUGCUUCCCCCACCUCCACCUCAGAAGCCACGGCUCAGCCCGCCGGCAACUUGCGGUCCGUAGUCCAGUGCGGACACGAGGCGGUGAGCCGUGUCCAUCCCGGAUCCGAGGGCCUCCGCCAGAUCAAGUCCCUUAACCUCGUGCCGAGCCCGGGAAAGCGAAGAGGAAAUUUACGGACUCUAGGACCCCAAGGUACCUGCCAGGAGGGACUCCGCCAGAUCACGUCCCAUAACCUCGUGCCGAGCCCGGGAAAGCGAAGAGGAAAUUUACGGACUCUGGGACCCCAAGUGCCAGCAGAAGUUAUUGUCGUUCAUUUGUUGACACAGAUAUUACAGCAGGUCUGAUUCUGGUGCACAUCAUGUCCAGUUUUGAAGAUGCUGACACAGAAGAGACAUUAACUUGUCUCCAGAUGACUGUUUACCAUCCAGGCCACCAGCAAAAUGGAAUAUUCCAAUCAAGAAGGUUUUUUAGCCGAGAGAAACUCCCUUCCAGCGAAGUGGUAAAAUUUGGCCGAAAUUCCAUCUGUCAGUAUACCUUUCAGGACAAACAUGCUUCUCGAGUUCAGUUUUCUCUGCACCUAUUUAAAAAGUUUGAUAGCUCAGUUCUCUCUU